AUACUUGUCUCAAAGAUUAAGCCAUGCAUGUCUAAGUAUAAGCAAUUAUACCGCGAAACUGCGAAUGGCUCAUUAUAUAAGUUAUCGUUUAUUUGAUAGUACCUUACUACUUGGAUAACCGUGGUAAUUCUAGAGCUAAUACAUGCUAAAAAUCCCGACUUCGGAAGGGAUGUAUUUAUUAGAUUAAAAACCAAUGCCCUUCGGGGCUCACUGGUGAUUCAUGAUAACUCCUCGAAUCGCAUGGCCUUGUGCCGGCGAUGGUUCAUUCAAAUUUCUUCCCUAUCAACUUUCGAUGUUUGGGUAUUGGCCAAACAUGGUUGCAACGGGUAACGGAGGGUUAGGGCUCGACCCCGGAGAAGGAGCCUGAGAAACGGCUACUACAUCCAAGGAAGGCAGCAGGCGCGCAGAAUUACCCAAUCCCGACACGGGGAGGUAGUGACAAURAAUACUKAUACAGGGCUCUUUUGGGUCUUGUAAUUGGAAUGAGUACAAUUUAAAUCCCUUAACGAGGAACAAUUGGAGGGCAAGUCUGGUGCCACACCCGGG
rnacentral:rRNA from 1 species